AUUGUUGGUAAUUCUUUUUAGGACUAUGAAAAUGCUGAAAAUACUUCAACUCAGUCAAAAGUUAUGAAUAAAAAAGAUAAAAGAAAGAAUCAUCAGGGAAAAGACAAACCUCUCACAGUAUCACUAAAAGAUUUUCAUUCGGAAGAUCACAUUAGUAAAAAAGACUGAGGUAAGUCUUAUUGUAGCCAUCUUGUAGAAAACACUGAUGAUUUUAAGAAUAAUACUUUAAUAUUUAGCAGUAAGUCUUUUUUGAGACAUAAUCAUUUAAAGGACAACCCAUAGGUUUGUCUUGAGUGAACCCAAUCAUGUUUCUGCCAUCAUAUAAGGAUGUAAAAUGCAUUAGUGUAGAAUAAAAACAAGAUUAUUUGCAUGAA